UCGACCUCAAAUCAGGUAGGAUUACCCGCUGAACUUAAGCAUAUCAAUAAGCCCGGAA
rnacentral:rRNA from 1 species